rnacentral:piRNA from 1 species
UAAGGCUGGACCUGUGGAAACUGCA